rnacentral:rRNA from 1 species
UUGGUCCUACGGGGCGCAGCAGUGAGGAAUAUUGGUCAAUGGGCGUAAGCCUGAACCAGCCAAGUCGCGUGAGAGAUGAAGGUUCUAUGGAUCGUAAACCUCUUUUAUAAGGGAAUAAAGUGUGGGACGUGUCCUAUUUUGUAUGUACCUUAUGAAUAAGGAUCGGCUAACUCCGUGCCAGCAGCCGCGGUAAUACGGAGGAUCCGAACGUUAUCCGGAUAUAUUGGGUUUAAAGGGUGCGUAGGC